ACGGGAGGCAGCAGUGGGGAAUAUUGCACAAUGGGGGAAACCCUGAUGCAGCGACGCCGCGUGAGUGAAGAAGUUAUUCGUAAUGUAAAGCUCUAUCAGCAGGGAAGAAAAUGACGGUACCUGACUAAGAAGCCCCGGCUAACUACGUGCCAGCAGCCGCGGUAAUACGUAGGGGGCAAGCGUUAUCCGGAUUUACUGGGUGUAAAGGGAGCGUAGACGGUAUGGCAAGUCUGAUGUGAAAACCCAGGGCUCAACCCUGGGACUGCAUUGGAAACUGUCAAACUAGAGUGCAGGAGAGGUAAGUGGAAUUCCUAGUGUAGCGGUGAAAUGCGUAGAUAUUAGGAGGAACACCAGUGGCGAAGGCGGCUUACUGGACUGUAACUGACGUUGAGGCUCGAAAGCGUGGGGAGCAAACAGGAUUAGAUACCCUGGUA
rnacentral:rRNA from 1 species